GACGAACGCUGGCGGCGUGCUUAACACAUGCAAGUCGAACGGAAAGGCCCUGCUUUUGUGGGGUGCUCGAGUGGCGAACGGGUGAGUAACACGUGAGUAACCUGCCCUAGACUUUGGGAUAACUUCAGGAAACUGGGGCUAAUACCGGAUAGGAGCUCCUGCUGCAUGGUGGGGGUUGGAAAGUUUCGGCGGUUGGGGAUGGACUCGCGGCUUAUCAGCUUGUUGGUGGGGUAGUGGCUUACCAAGGCUUUGACGGGUAGCCGGCCUGAGAGGGUGACCGGCCACAUUGGGACUGAGAUACGGCCCAGACUCCUACGGGAGGCAGCAGUGGGGAAUAUUGCACAAUGGGCGGAAGCCUGAUGCAGCAACGCCGCGUGCGGGAUGACGGCCUUCGGGUUGUAAACCGCAUUCGCCUGUGACGAAGCGUGAGUGACGGUAAUGGGUAAAGAAGCACCGGCUAACUACGUG
rnacentral:rRNA from 1 species